ensembl:lncRNA
UCCGACGCCUGUGAUCCUGUGCAGAAUGUCACGUCGCCCCACUGACAUUUGAUAAUGAGAUGAAAUGUCCAUUCAGGGGCAACAGGUUCUCUCGUGAGCUCUAAUCUCUCCCUCCAAAAAGGCCUCGUCGUGUCUCUCAAUCCUCCUGUUUCCUGUGAAGAAAAAUCAAUCUUAACUUGUUUUCACAUCAUUAUGUGAAAUAUCAUCAUGUAUAGCAGCUGCAGUAGCCAUCCUCUUUGUACAUUUCUUUAGAUUUUAUUUUUGGGCUUUUUGCAUUUAAUCGGAUAGGACAGUGAAGAGAGACAGGAAGCGAGCUGGGGAGAGAUCGGGAGACCGCGGGAUCGGGAAUUGACCGAGAGUCGGACUCGAGCUCGGGUCCCCGUGGGCGUUCAGGCCCAUCCAUGGUACGGGGCUGCUGAUUGCGCCACAGCACCCCCCUCUUUCUACGUUUCCGACUGUGAAUCCACUGAAAUGAUAAUAUCUUAGGCAAGUUAGGUAGCCUAUGUGCUGAAAUGAUAAUAUCUUAGGCAAGUUAGGUAGCCUAUGUGCUGAAAUGUGCCGCCCGUUUCCAUUCUACCAUCUCGGUGUCUGAUCUGAAGUUACCGGUGACAUUGCUGUACCUUCGAGCGUGUCGGCUGAGCCUCAGGGAAGGCUUCACGGUCGCCACCGAGCCACACCAGGAGAGCUCGUCGCUGCUUUAUAGAUCGUCAGCAGGCCGGCGUGGUGGCUCACCGAGGCGCCGGGACCCCGGGACCCCGUGAUUGAUUGGCCCGCGCCGGACCGACAUGGCACUGAACCCCUGCAGAAAUCGAACUCUUCCCAGGAUGAAGAGGCUCCGCUCCCUAGCCCGGUUGAAUGUGGAAGGGGAUCGAAGUCAUGGGAUAUGUGUUGUUUUCUUUGCUUCUCUCUCCCCCCAAUGGGAGAAGGUGGGAAAUGAUUGUGGAAAUUAGUUAAGUGACCCCCAUGGUCUCAUCUUGUGUCUUGUGUGGGCUGGGUCUGGAUGGGUUUAUGUGUGCGGGUUUAAUGUGAAACUUAAUAAGAGUUAAAAAUGUUGGAGCUGUACAGUGGAGAUUUUGUUAUUAGCGCGAUUAGUCGUAAGUGGACAUCAUGUUGAUUAUAUAUAAUUAUCUCCUAAUGGAAAGGUUGCCGGAUUAGCCCAACGCUAGCUGUGUGAGCAAGGAGAGAUUUACAUCUGGCAAA